AUACGUAGGGGACAAGCGUUGUCCGGAAUCACUGGGCGUAAAGGGCGCGUAGGCGGUUUUAUAAGUCAGAUGUGAAAGGUACCGGCUCAACCGGUGACGUGCAUUUGAAACUGUAAGACUUGAGUACUGGAGAGGCCAGUGGAAUUCCUAGUGUAGCGGUGAAAUGCGUAGAUAUUAGGAGGAACACCGGUGGCGAAGGCGGCUUGCUGGACAGAUACUGACGCUGAGGUGCGAAAGCGUGGGGAGCGAACAGGAUUAGAUACCCUGGUAGUCCACGCCGUAAACGAUGAUGACUAGGUGUUGGGGAAACUCAGUGCCGCAGUUAACACAUUAAGUCAUCCGCCUGGGGAGUACGACCGCAAGGUUGAAACUCAAAGGAAUGGGCGGGG
rnacentral:rRNA from 1 species